rnacentral:tRNA from 1 species
GAGGGUAGAGCUCAGUGGUAGAGCGCAUGCUUAGCAUGCACAAGGUCCUGGGUUCAAUCCUCAGUACCUCCA